rnacentral:rRNA from 1 species
UUGACGGGACCCGCACAAGCGGUGGAUGAUGUGGUUUAAUUCGAUGCAACGCGAAAACCUUACCCACCUUUGGCAUGGCAGGAAUCCCGAAGAGAUUUGGGAGUGCUCGAAAGAGAACCUGCACACAGGUGCUGCAUGGCUGUCGUCAGCUCGUGUCGUGAGAUGUUGGGUUAAGUCCCGCAACGAGCGCAACCCUUGCCAUUAGUUGCUACGAAAGGGCACUCUAAUGGGACUGCCGGUGACAAACCGGAGGAAGGUGGGGAUGACGUCAAGUCCUCAUGGCCCUUAUAGGUGGGGCUACACACGUCAUACAAUGGCCGGUACAGAGGGUAGCCAACCCGCGAGGGGGAGCCAAUCCCACAAAGCCGGUCGUAGUCCGGAUCGCAGUCUGCAACUCGACUGCGUGAAGUCGGAAUCGCUAGUAAUCGCGGAUCAGCAUGUCGCGGUGAAUACGUUCCCGGGUCUU